AUAUGCCUAGCCAGUGUUUUCUGUGUGGUUUCACUUAUAUUGCGGGAGGUGAGAUUAGUCUUCACAGACUUCCAUCGAAUCAACUCGAACGAGAAAAAUGGUUACAGAGAAUUUCUUGGAACCGACCGAUGUUGGAAUAAAUCACUUUCCUGAAGAUUGCUUCCGACUAUUAAUAAACUUAAGCAAGAGGCUUAUCCAGGAAGUUUACUUCUUCUUCUGAUAUCAAAUUGGAAAUACCUCUGAAUGGAAGUAUCGGAGCACAGGACUCAACAGAAUCUGAUUCUAAAACACAAUCACCACCAAACAAAAGAUUGAGAUUUGGGACUUCAUCUACUUUUAAAUCCCCCUUCAAAAUGUGCAUCUUCUUGCUCUAGUGACACUAAGAACUUUACGCGUAUCCUAGGAGGUUUGCCUUUUGAAAUCAAAUUGGAAAUACCUCUGUAAUUUCUUGCAAUGAAAAUAAUAUUACCAUACAACAUAAAGCAAUUCGCAGGACUUACUCAGAAGGGAAUGGAAGUGUUGAAGAACAUGACUCUGCGACAUAUUUAUAUGAUUCUAAAAUACAAUCUCCAUAAAAAAAAACGAUUGAGAUUUGACACUCCAACUACCAAUGGUUCAGAAGAAACACUGACUCUAACCUCUCCUUCAAAAUGUGCAUCAUUUAGCUCUAGUGCUACUUCUUUUUCUGGGAAACGAAGAAUAUCCAUAAUGAUGUAAGAUUUAUUAAAAAAAAUCUCUUUUUUAAAUUCUACUUUUUUAGGUCGAGCCGAUUUUUCUCAAAUCCCUGCUAUAUUGGAGACUAUUCACAUCGUCAUUAUGAAAACCCUAUGCUGCGAAAGAAAUACUUCAGGUUGGUCUAGAAGAAUCCUGUCCAAUUUCAAGGUCAAAAAU